CUUUAUCCUGUUUCAAUAUAAAGGCUUUCAUCGAUGUUGAUAGUCACACCAGGUAAACGGUUUGCUAUCUCAUCUAUGUGAACUGGACUGAAUUAUAAAAAUACUGAAAUAAUUUUCAGAAAGCAGAAAGAGAGGAGGAAUUCACAACGUUUUAUCUUAUAGCUCCUGAUUGUGGAUUCAGUGGGAAACAACAUGGAUCUCAAACAGACAGUAUUCAUGUUACUGUUUCUAACGGCACAAACCACUGCAGGACCUACAACUGUUGCUCCUACAACACCAGCACCUACAACAGCUGCACCCACAACAGCAGCACCCACAACAGCUCCACCUACAACUGCAGCACCCACAACAGC